AGUGAACGCUGGCGGUAGGCCUAACACAUGCAAGUCGAACGGCAGCACAGUAAGAGCUUGCUCUUACGGGUGGCGACUGGCGGACGGGUGAGGCAUACAUCGGAAUCUUCUUUUUCGUGGGGGAUAACGUAGGGACACUUACGCUAAUACCGCAUACGACCUACGGGUGAAAGCAGGGGAUCUUCGGACCUUGCGCGAUUGAAUGAGCCGAUGUCGGAUUAGCUAGUUGGCUAGGUAAAGGCACACCAAGGCGACGAUGCGUAGCUGGUCUGAGAGGAUGAUCAGCCACACUGGAACUGAGACACGGUCCAGACUCCUACGGGAGGCAGCAGUAGGGAAUAUUGGACAAUGGGCGCAAGCCUGAUCCAGCCAUACCGCGUGAGUGAAGAAGGUCUUCGGGUUGUAAAGCCCUGUUGUUGGGAAAGAAAAGCAGUAGGUUAAUACCCCGCUGUUCUGACGGUACCCAAAGAAUAAGCACCGGCUAACUUCGUG
rnacentral:rRNA from 1 species